ACAUGUGAAGGCACAGAAACAUCCUUGUUAUCAGACAAGAUGUCAUCAUUACAAGAAACAGAUACAGAAGGCAAUGCAACAACUUUGUUAUUAUUACAAGAAGCAGAUACAGGACAAGCAGAAGUAGAGGAACAAUUAACAGAGGAAGAAGAGGAAGAGGGAACCCAAUUUAGUUUAUACAGCCCAGCAGCUUCUCUACCAAGAUCCAGUGGCCU
rnacentral:lncRNA from 1 species